rnacentral:lncRNA from 1 species
GAUCACCAAACUCUUAAUAAUCAUCAAAUUCUUCUUGGAGAUUGUGAAAUAAACCAAUUCUAAGGUAAAGAUGACCUUCUUAUCAAAAACUUUCUUCAUUAUCUACUGAUAUAACUGAUCAUGACACAUGGCAGUCAAUCUCUUCUCUUCAUUCAAAUUCAGCUGGUCCUAUCUAGUCUGACACCAUUCAACCUCUGUAAACUUGGCUUCCAUCAAGACACACAAUGAUGGGAUCUCAA